rnacentral:rRNA from 1 species
AUGUACACGGCAUGGAGGUCGCACAAGCAUAGCCGGCGUAUGGAGUCGUUGAGCAGCGUGGGCUCCGUGGCCGCAGCGCCACCUGCAGAGCGGCUGGCGGAGCGCCCGCACGUCGUACUUCUGGCUAGCCCCGGCGCCGGCCACCUCAUCCCCCUGGCCGAGCUGGCGCGGCGGCUCGUCGAGCUCCAUGGCUUCGCGGCCACGGUUGUCACGUUCACCAACUUCUCCGCCCCAGAACUACUUGCUUGCCUCCCCGCCUCCGUCGCCACCGCCGCGCUCCCCGCCGUUCAGAUCGACGACCUCCCCGCCACCGCCCGCAACGGCGGCGUGCUCGUGGAGCUCAGCCGCCGCUCCCUCCCCAAUAUCCGCGCCCUCGUCCGCUCCAUCAGCAACUCCAGUACAGCCCCGCUCGCCGCGCUGGUGCCGGACUUCUUCUGCUCCAGUGCGCUGCCCAUCGCCGUCGAGCUCGGCGUCCCGGGAUACCUCUUCGUCCCUAGCAGCCUGGCCUAUGUCGCCUUCACACGCCACAUCGUUGAGCUCAACCAAGGCGCCGCUCCCGGCGAAUACCGCGAUCUUGUGGUGCCUCUCGAGCUUCCCGGCGGCGUCUCGCUAUGCGGCGCGGACCUCCCGGACCCGGAGCACCAGCUUUACCCGCAACUUGUCGAGUGGGGCCGGAGCUACUGCCUCGCCGAUGGCGUGCUGGUGAACACGUUCUACGAGAUGGAACCUGCUACCGUGGAAGCGUUCAAGCAGCUGGCGGUGCCGGAACAAGGUUCAUGCGCGUUCUUCUUCCCGCCGGUGUUCCCCGUGGGGCCAUUCGUCAGGCAGACAGACCGCCACGAACCCACCGCCGGUGCGUUGUCGCCGUGCUUGGAGUGGCUUGAUCGUCAGCCGGCCGGUUCUGUGGUGUACGUCGCCUUCGGGAGCGGCGGAGCACUUUCUGUGGAGCAGACGGCCGAGCUCGCGGCUGGUCUCGAGGCGAGCGGCCAAAGGUUUCUUUGGGUCGUGCGGAUGCCAAGCACCGACGUCGGCCGUUGCGGUGCCGGCGGCGACGAUCCGUUGGCGUGGCUCCCCGAGGGCUUCUUGGCGAGGACAAGUGGGAGGGGCCUAGCCGUGGCGGCGUGGGCGCCUCAGGUGCGCGUGCUGGCUCACCCUGCGACGGCCGCCUUCGUGUCGCACUGCGGGUGGAACUCGACGCUGGAGAGCGUGGGCUGCGGCGUGCCCAUGCUCGCGUGGCCGCUGUACGCGGAGCAGAGGAUGAACGCCGUUCUCCUGGAAGAGAAGCUCGGGAUGGCGCUGCGGGUGCCGCCAGCACGAGAGGACGGCCGAUGCUUGGUGACGCGCCACGAGAUCGCCAAAGCUGUGAAGGAGCUCGUGGAGGGCGGUCAGAAGGUGCGCCGCCGGGUCGAGGACCUGCAGAAAGCGGCAGCACGUGCGUGGUUGCCGGAGGGGCCGUCGCGCCGGGCGCUCGAGCAGGUCGCCGUAAAGUGGAAGGCGGCGCUCGGCACCGCGAAGUAA